GUCUCGGGAACUGGAUUUAUACUGGCCAAGGAUGACAUCACGCGGGUCUAUUUUGCGAAUUGAUCUUAAAACCUUCACCUGCAGAAGCAGUACAGGUUGACCUUUUCAUUUCGGAUAUCUUCACCAUCAAGACUUAUCGGAGGUUCCAUGGCAAGCAAAGUGAACAAACCAGAAUGUGGAAGAGGAAAGCCCAGGCACUAUACACAAAAUACAAACAAUCAGAAGAACUGUGAAGAAAGAUGAAUUUGGAGAGCUGUGCAUGCAGAAAGCAACUAGAUUUAAAAGAAGGACCUGUAGAUUUGAUUCUCUUCAAACUUA